CCCCUCAACUUACAUACAUUUCUGGAAACAUAACUGCAGCGCCAUCAGUAAGCUUGCGGAAGAAUAUAGAAUCAAAAUAGUGGUAUAGGAGUAGAAGUGUGCCUUGCUUUUGGUGGUUGCUAACUGAAAGUUACUAAUAAACAACACUGUUUUCAGUUAACAAACGUUUGUGCUCGGUGGGGGUAGGGUAAGAAAAGGCUUAUGCUAAGUGUUCUAGCUGAAGGUAGUUGCAGAACUAUUACAAUUCUAAAUUGAGGGCGGGUGGCUCAAGGACUUAAAAGCUGGUCUCCAGAAACAAUGCGACGGACAAUCUGGAGCAUCCUGGUGAAUAAUGUGGGAGCAAACCGGGAGUGUUGUCAGAUCAUAUGUACUACGCCGUAGCGUACGACACGAUUUACCCGUUUCAAUAGAGAAACAGCCAAACUGUGCAAGAACUCGGAAAGUCAAAUAAUUUUAUUGCUAACGUUUUUUAAAUAUUAAACAGAAAAUAUAUUUUUGUAAACGCUUUGUA